CACGUAGGGGACGAGCGUUGUCCGGAUUCAUUGGGCGUAAAGCGCGCGUAGGCGGCUCGGAAAGUCGGGCGUGAAAUGCCGGGGCUCAACCCCGGGACUGCGUCCGAUACUUCCGAGCUGGAGGUAGGUAGGGGAGAUCGGAAUUCCUGGUGUAGCGGUGAAGUGCGCAGAUAUCAGGAGGAACACCGGUGGCGAAGGCGGAUCUCUGGGCCGUACCUGACGCUGAGGCGCGAAAGCUAGGGGAGCGAACAGG
rnacentral:rRNA from 1 species